rnacentral:rRNA from 1 species
UACGGAGGGUGCAAGCGUUAUCCGGAUUCACUGGGUUUAAAGGGUGCGUAGGAGGGCAGGUAAGUCAGUGGUGAAAUCCUCCGGCUCAACCGGAGAACUGCCUCGGAUACUGGGCGUCUCGAGUGUGGUAGGGGUAUGCGGAACUAUCGGUGGAGCGGUGAAAUGCGUUGAUAUCGAUAGGAACUCCGGUGGCGAAGGCGGCAUACUGGACCACCACUGACGCUGAUGCGCGAAAGCCAGGGGAGCAAACGGG